rnacentral:rRNA from 1 species
AGUCGAACGCUUCUUUUCCCACCGGAGCUUGCUCCACCGGGAAAAGAGGAGUGGCGAACGGGUGAGUAACACGUGGGUAACCUGCCCAUCAGAAGGGGAUAACACUUGGAAACAGGUGCUAAUACCGUAUAACAAUCGAAACCGCAUGGUUUCGUUUUGAAAGGCGCUUUACGGUGCCGCUGAUGGAUGGACCCGCGGUGCAUUAGCUAGUUGGUGAGGUAACGGCUCACCAAGGCCACGAUGCAUAGCCGACCUGAGAGGGUGAUCGGCCACAUUGGGACUGAGACACGGCCCAAACUCCUACGGGAGGCAGCAGUAGGGAAUCUUCGGCAAUGGACGAAAGUCUGACCGAGCAACGCCGCGUGAGUGAAGAAGGUUUUCGGAUCGUAAAACUCUGUUGUUAGAGAAGAACAAGGGUGAGAGUAACUGUUCACCCCUUGACGGUAUCUAACCAGAAAGCCACGGCUAACUACGUGCCAGCAGCCGCGGUAAUACGUAGGUGGCAAGCGUUGUCCGGAUUUAUUGGGCGUAAAGCGAGCGCAGGCGGUUUCUUAAGUCUGAUGUGAAAGCCCCCGGCUCAACCGGGGAGGGUCAUUGGAAACUGGGAGACUUGAGUGCAGAAGAGGAGAGUGGAAUUCCAUGUGUAGCGGUGAAAUGCGUAGAUAUAUGGAGGAACACCAGUGGCGAAGGCGGCUCUCUGGUCUGUAACUGACGCUGAGGCUCGAAAGCGUGGGGAGCAAACAGGAUUAGAUACCCUGGUAGUCCACGCCGUAAACGAUGAGUGCUAAGUGUUGGAGGGUUUCCGCCCUUCAGUGCUGCAGCUAACGCAUUAAGCACUCCGCCUGGGGAGUACGACCGCAAGGUUGAAACUCAAAGGAAUUGACGGGGGCCCGCACAAGCGGUGGAGCAUGUGGUUUAAUUUGAAGCAACGCGAAGAACCUUACCAGGUCUUGACAUCCUUUGACCACUCUAGAGAUAGAGCUUCCCCUUCGGGGGCAAAGUGACAGGUGGUGCAUGGUUGUCGUCAGCUCGUGUCGUGAGAUGUUGGGUUAAGUCCCGCAACGAGCGCAACCCUUAUUGUUAGUUGCCAUCAUUUAGUUGGGCACUCUAGCAAGACUGCCGGUGACAAACCGGAGGAAGGUGGGGAUGACGUCAAAUCAUCAUGCCCCUUAUGACCUGGGCUACACACGUGCUACAAUGGGAAGUACAACGAGUCGCGAAGUCGCGAGGCUAAGCUAAUCUUUUAAAGCUUCUCUCAGUUCGGAUUGUAGGCUGCAACUCGCCUACAUGAAGCCGGAAUCGCUAGUAAUCGCGGAUCAGCACGCCGCGGUGAAUACGUUCCCGGGCCUUGUACACACCGCCCGUCACACCACGAGAGUUUGUAACACCCGAAGUCGGUGAGGUAACCUUUUU